GAGUUUGAUCGUGGCUCAGGAUGAACGCUAGCGGCAGGCCUAAUACAUGCAAGACGAACGGUAAGAUUUGUAGCAAUACAGAUCCAAGAGUGUCGUAAGGGUGCGUAACAAGUAUGCAAUCUGCCCUGUACAGGAGGAUAGCUCCCCGAAAGGGGAAUUAACACUCCAUAAGAUCGCACGAGGGCAUCCGAGAGCGAUUAAAACUGAGGUGGUACAGGAUGAGCAUGCUUCUGAUUAGCUAGUUGGUGGUGUAACGGACCACCAAGGCGAUGAUCAGUAGGGGAACUGAGAGGUUGAUCCCCCACACUGGCACUGAGAUACGGGCCAGACUCCUACGGGAGGCAGCAGUAGGGAAUAUUGGUCAAUGGAUGCAAGUCUGAACCAGCCAUGCCGCGUGCAGGAAGAAGGCCUUCUGGGUUGUAAACUGCUUUUGCCGGGGAUAAAAGUCCAUGCGUGGACAAUUGAAGGUACCCGGUGAAUAAGCCACGGCUAACUACGUGCC
rnacentral:rRNA from 1 species